rnacentral:rRNA from 1 species
CCUACGGGUGGCAGCAGUGAGGAAUAUUGGUCAAUGGCCGAGAGCCUGAACCAGCCAAGUAGCGUGAGGGAUGACGGCCCUACGGGUUGUAAACCUCUUUUAUCGGGGAGUAAAGUGCGGCACGUGUCCCUUCUCGAGUGUACCUUGUGAAUAAGCAUCGGCUAACUCCGUGCCAGCAGCCGCGGUAAUACGGAGGAUCCGAGCGUUAUCCGGAUUUAUUGGGUUUAAAGGGUGCGUCGAUGGGAGGUGAAGUCCGGUGGUAAAGUUGGCGGGUCAACCUUCAACGGGCAGUUGAUACUGGGAGUCUUGAGUAGACGAGAGGUACGCGGAAUGCGUGGUGUAGCGGUGAAAUGCAUAGAUAUCACGCAGAACUCCGAUUGCGAAGGCAGCUUACCAAAGCGCAACUGACACUGAUGCACGAAAGCGUGGGUAUCGAACAGGAUUAGAUACCCCUGUAGUC